UACGAAGGGGGGCUAGCGUUGUUCGGAAUUACUGGGCGUAAAGCGCACGUAGGCGGAUCGAUCAGUCAGGGGGUGAAAUCCCAGAGCUCAACUCUGGAACUGCCUUUGAUACUGUCGAUCUAGAGUAUGGAAGAGGUGAGUGGAAUUCCGAGUGUAGAGGUGAAAUUCGUAGAUAUUCGGAGGAACACCAGUGGCGAAGGCGGCUCACUGGUCCAUUACUGACGCUGAGGUGCGAAAGCGUGGGGGAGCAAACAGGG
rnacentral:rRNA from 1 species